AUUGAACGCUGGCGGCAUGCCUUACACAUGCAAGUCGAACGGCAGCACGGGAGCAAUCCUGGUGGCGAGUGGCGAACGGGUGAGUAAUAUAUCGGAACGUGCCCGGUCGUGGGGGAUAACGUAGCGAAAGCUACGCUAAUACCGCAUACGAUCUAUGGAUGAAANCGGGGGGAUCGCAAGACCUCGCGCGAUUGGAGCGGCCGAUAUCAGAUUAGGUAGUUGGUGAGGUAAAGGCUCACCAAGCCGACGAUCUGUAGCUGGUCUGAGAGGACGACCAGCCACACUGGGACUGAGACACGGCCCAGACUCCUACGGGAGGCAGCAGUGGGGAAUUUUGGACAAUGGGCGCAAGCCUGAUCCAGCAAUGCCGCGUGCAGGAUGAUGGCCUUCGGGUUGUAAACUGCUUUUGUACGGAACGAAACGGUGAGCUCUAAUACAGUUUGCUAAUGACGGUACCGUAAGAAUAAGCACCGGCUAACUACGUG
rnacentral:rRNA from 1 species